rnacentral:rRNA from 1 species
CAUUUGCCUUAUAAUUGAAGGCUAGUAUGAAUGGUUUGACAAGAAUAUAACUGUCUCUUUUAGAUUUUAUAGAAUUUUAUUUAAAGGUGAAGAAGCCUUUAUUAAAUUAAAAGACGAGAAGACCCUAUCGAGCUUGAAAAUAGUAAAAGGACUAAWAAAUUAAUAAAACUAGAAAAUUUGCCAUUAAUAAUUUUAGUUGGGGCGACUGAGGAACAUAAAAAGCUUCCUUUAAAAAUUUAAAUAUUUACGAAUAUUGAUCCAAAAAUUUUUGAUUAAAGAAAUUAGUUACCGUAGGGAUAACAGCAUUAUCUCUUUUAAGAGUUCUUAUCGAAAAGGGGGUUUGUGACCUCGAUGUUGGACCAGAAUGUCCUGAAGAUGCAGCAGUCUUUAAGGGUUGGUCUGUUCGACCAUUAAAAUUCUACG